ensembl:lncRNA
GCCGUGAUUCCCCCGCUGCCACAACGUGUCGUAGGUGAUGUUGUCAGGAUGCCCAUGGGAUGGGAGGGGACCCAGCCCAGCUGUGUGCAAUGAGCCUCAUCUCUGCCUGGCCACAAAGCAGCCUGCCCGCACCUUGAGCCAGCCCUCGGCUCCUGGGACGAGGCUUUGGGCUCAGCCGAUCGCCCGGUGAAGGUGCAGGGAGCAGAGUGCCCGGGGCCACCCACAGGGGCCCAGGUUUAAGGCGUGCUCUCCGGGGCUGGAGUCCUGGGGGACUCGAAGUUGCUGGAUGCUGACCUCCAGGGACUGUCCUCCCAAAGUCUUCUAACCCCCAAAAUACUCCCUCGCCACACGCCUUCCCCAAGCACAUCUCACGUUUUAACAAAGCCAAGCUCGGAUUUAAACAAAAAAGUUCAAGAACUUGGAACUGGCUGAUCUGAAAUUAUUCGUGCUGGGCUGAAAGUCAGCUUCAUCCGUCAACCCCUUUUCAUCUAUCCUGCGGCAAUUGAAUUUUAUAAACAGUGUUCGGGAGUAAGUGUCAAAAUGCAUGAGAGAGCACCUUGCUUCAACACACCCCAACCACUCGCUCACAAAGAGUCAUUACCAGAGAUAAGUCCCUGCUAAGCAUUCGGUAACUGGACUCCCUCAGGGCCCGCGAAGGCGACAUCGGAAUCUGAGUUUUGGUGGGUCACUCUCUCAGGCAGCCUGACACUGCCCUGGUGGGUCUCAGCUGUCCCUAACGAAUGUCAUCUCGGUGCAGCUGGAUUUGAAACAGAAAGGAGCCUGUGCCUGACCGGCAUCCGCAGCCGAACCUUGCAGCGCUGGCUAUGCGUGCCCAGCGAGAAGGCGGCGGCCAUGUGCUGCUCUUCUUGGAAGUGAAGACCCCAAACGUGGGCAGUUGCCCAUCAAGCACUUACUCUGUGCCCCACGCCCACGCUCUGCUCCCUACAGGUGUGAACCCAGCUGGGGAUGGAGGCUGGCACUCAGGAGCCCAAGGUCACGGCACUGAGUCCAAGCCAAACAGACGAUCUCAGCCGGCCAGAGGUUGACCUGAGUACACCGGGGCUCGGAAGGCUGUCAGCCACCUCCGGGAGUUUACAACUGUCCAGGAGUGCCUCGCCCUCCACACCUCCUGCGCCGUCUGCAAAACCCGGCUCAACAGCCUCCCAGGGGCCUCCUCUGGGGCUCGGGCCCCUGUCUUCGGCUGCAGCACCCUCACGGCUGCCAUUCGCCCACACACUGCUCACCUCUGCCAUGAGGCUCCCAUUCCCAUCAUCCCAUGCAGCCCCUCUCUCUGCACAGGUGGUCCAGGCACUGCCUGGGCACCCAUGCCAAACCUAUACCUCUGGGAGUCCCCAGCACCUCGCCAGGAUGCAGGCACACCUGCAGCUCCCAGGAGAGCCUUGUUCCAUGAAUGAGUGAAAGGAUGAACGCGUGAACGUACUCCUGUGUGCUUCCUCUCUGUGGAAACUUCCAGGCUUUCAGAAACUAAGUAGGAAAUCAGACUAUGACAUUUUUGCUCAGGACACAACCUGCAUCGGGGCUUUUGCAGCCCUACUGAAUGUGGACAUAAUUCUUCUUAAAGAUUCAUUUACUUAUUUGAAAGAGAAUGGAGUUGUGGGGGGGGCAGGAAAGAGACAGAGAGAGAGAGAGAUUUUGUAUCUGCUGGUUCACUCCCCAGGUGCCUGCAAUGGCCAGAGCUGAGCCAGGCUGAAGUCAGGAGCCUCAUCUGGGUCUCCCACAUGGGAGCCGGGGCCCCAAACACUCGGGCCAUCCUCUGCUGCUUUUCCCAGGCCACCAGCAGGGAGCUGGAUGAAAAGUGCAACAGCCGGGACUCAAACCAGCACCCGUAUGGGAUGCUGGCAUUGCAGAUGGUGGCUUAACCCACUACAAAAACAGCGCCAGUCCCAGAGUGUGGGCAUAAUUCCGAAAGGGGGGUUUCACCAUGCACGUGCAGAGGCUCGCCCAUCUCCCAGAAUGCACAGCGCCCCCACGGGGAACACAAAAGCCUGCAGUGCCUGGCAGCCCCGUCUGCACUUUCUCAGCCUCCCUGACCUCCCGGGCACCAGGCCUGCGCUCACUCCCUGUUCCACCUGCCACCCCGUCCUCCGUCUCCCAUCGUCCUCUCCAGGGCGACAGCGUUUCUGACGCUCAACUUCCAAGCUCAACUUCCAGAAACAGAACACGCAGCCUCACCCAGGACCCAGCAGCAGGGUGAAGGGCUGUGUUCUCCAGGGGGCCUCCGCCCAGACCCCCGAGCGCACCCUUGCUGCGUAGCCUGUAGACGCACACGAUGGCGGGCAGAGAGGCAAGGCUUCCUCACCCCUUCUUGCACGUCUGCCUUCGUGUGCCAGACCCCAGCGGCCAGCGGAACUUGAUCCCUCUCUGACUCCCAAUACUGCUUCCUCAGCCUCCCCGGACA